rnacentral:rRNA from 1 species
CACGUAGGGCGCGAGCGUUGUCCGGAAUUAUUGGGCGUAAAGAGCUCGUAGGCGGCCUGUUGCGUCCGCUGUGAAAGCCCGGGGCUUAACCCCGGGUCUGCAGUGGAUACGGGCAGGCUAGAGGUAGGUAGGGGAGAAUGGAAUUCCCGGUGUAGCGGUGAAAUGCGCAGAUAUCGGGAGGAACACCGGUGGCGAAGGCGGUUCUCUGGGCAUUACCUGACGCUGAGGAGCGAAAGCGUGGGGAGCAAACAGG